UCGGGAACGGGAACCAAACCGGGAUUGGCCCCGGGAGCCCCCUCGGAGCGGCCUCGAGCCGCUGCGGGAUGUGCUGGGGGCGGCUCGACCCCUCCGGGACCCUCCGGGACCCUCCCGGUUCCUCCCGGUUCCUCCCGGUCCCUCACGCCGCGCUCCCGCCGCGUUCCCGGAAGUGCCGCCCCUCCGCCCUCAGCCAAUCAGCAGCGGGAACAGCGCGCUCUGCUCCACGUGACUCACAAGCGCCGCGUUCAUUGGUUGAUACGCGUAGCGUCCCAGCCAAUCACCAGCGGGAAAAAAAGACUCGCAGUUGUCCCGCCCACUGGUGAUGGACGUGCGGCUCCAGCCAAUCAGCAGCGAGGAGGGCGUGGCCAUCGCGCUCAGACUCCGCCCCCCGCGCGGUUUUGGGGCGAAUUGCGGCGAUUUUGGGUCUGGCAAUGGCGGGGGCGCCGUUCAAUGGCUUUAUUGGGGGUCAUCGUCAAGGGGGAAACCCAGGCGGGGGUCGCAGGUGCCCCCAGGUCAGGGGUCAAUGUCCCAAAUGUCCCCCCGGGUCAGGGGUCACGGGGUGUCCCCAGGGGAGGGGUCCCGGUGUCCCGCUGUCCCCAUGGGAGGGGUCCCGGUGUCCCGCUGUCCCCAGGGGAAGGGUCCCGGUGUCCCCAUGUCCCCCGGGGAGGGGUCCCCGCGCCCCCCGGGCUCAGAGCUGCCGGGGGGGCAGCACCACGCGGUGCAGGACGCGCCCGGUGGCCUCCAGGAAGGUGACGGUGGCAGCGCCGGGCUCCAGGCGCAGGUGGGCGAAGCCCCCGGGGCUCGCGGGGCUCCCGAAGAAGAAGCGGAGGGAACCGGGGGGGACGGAGCCGAGGUGGGGCCGCGAAUCCUCCAUGAAAUUCCCGGCGCCGCUCAGGAUGUAGCCCACCCCCCC
rnacentral:lncRNA from 1 species